rnacentral:tRNA from 1 species
GCGGCGGUGGUGGAAGGGUAGACACGCUAUUUUGAGGUGAUAGUGGCAUUGCUAUGGGAGUUCAAAUCUCCCUCGCCGCA